UUUUUUUUUUUUUUUUUUUUUUUUCUACGUUUUAGCAUUUAAGUGACAAAAAUUGCUUGUUGUAACUGUUGCUACCUCUACCCAUUAUCGUCCAUGUGUGUGCAGUUGUCUUUUAA
rnacentral:ribozyme from 14 species